rnacentral:rRNA from 1 species
GACGAACGCUGGCGGUGUGCUUAACACAUGCAAGUCGAACGGUAAGGCCCUUUCGGGGGUACACGAGUGGCGAACGGGUGAGUAACACGUGAGUAACCUGCCCUCAUCUCUGGGAUAACAGUCGGAAACGGUUGCUAAUACUGGAUAUGAGCCUGCAAGGCAUCUUGUGGGUUGGAAAGAUUUUUUGGUUGGGGAUGGACUCGCGGCCUAUCAGCUUGUUGGUGAGGUAGUGGCUCACCAAGGCUUCGACGGGUAGCCGGCCUGAGAGGGCGACCGGCCACAUUGGGACUGAGAUACGGCCAAAACUCCUACGGGAGGCAGCAGUGGGGAAUAUUGCACAAUGGACGGAAGUCUGAUGCAGCAACGCCGCGUGCGGGAUGACGGCCUUCGGGUUGUAAACCGCUUUCAAUUGUGACGAAGCUUUUUGAGACGGUAGCAGUAGAAGAAGCACCGGCUAACUACGUG